GAUGAAGAACGUAGCGAAAUGCGAUAAGUAAUGUGAAUUGCAGAAUUCAGUGAAUCAUCGAAUCUUUGAACGCACAUUGCACCCGCCAGUAUUCUGGCGAGCAUGCCUGUUCGAGCGUCAUUUCAACCAUCAAGCCCCAGGCUUGUGUUGGAGCCCUGCGGCUGCCGCAGCCUCCCAAAACCAGUGGCGGGCUCGCUAUCACACCGAGUGCAGUAGUUUACUCUUCGCUCAGGGCGUGUGGCGGGUGCUAGCCGUGAAACCCCCAACUUCUCAAGGUUGACCUCGGAUCAGGUAGGAAUACCCGCUGAACUUAAGCAUAUCAAUAAGCGGAGGA
rnacentral:misc_RNA from 1 species